GCUAGCAACAACUCUGCAAAAACCCUGACAUCUUCCUGGGCAGAAAACCCACUGCCACCUCUCCUGCUCCUCUGCCUGGACCCCAGCUCCUCCUCCUGGAGCCACUUCCCACGGUCCUGCCCCAGGCAUCCCUACACCACUUCAAGGUCAUUUCUGAACCUUCCAAGGUUGACACUAGACAGUGAUAGCAAAUAAAUGGCAUAUGCACACUCAUUUAAAAAUAUGUUCACAAUUUUUAAAUAUUCCUCCCUUUGAGAGGUGGAGCCUACCCCCUCCCCUUGAGUGUGAGCUGGGAUUAAUGACCCACUCCUAACAAAUAGCAUAUAGAGGAAGUGGCAGUGCAUGACUUCCAAGACUAAGUCACAAAAGGCACUGUGACAUGCUCCUCACUCUCUCGGACUGCUUGCUCUGAGGAAGCAGAUUGGCAUGUCAUGAGGACACUCAAGCAGCCUGCAGAGAGGUCUGUGUGGUAAGGAACUGAGCUUCCUGCCAACAGUGAGCCAUCUAGGAAGCAAUCCUCCAGCCCCAGAUGGGCUUCAUGUGACUGCAGCCCUGGCCAGCAUCUUGACUGCAACCUCAUGAGAGGCUCUCAGCCAGAAUCAUCCAUUCUGCAGAGCCAUUAGCUGUUGCCACUGCCACGCUGGGAAGAAAACGAAGGGCCGGCAGCAGAACUGGAGGCCCUCUCCACAAGAGCCAACGCCAGAAACUACCAAACUGCCUUCCCUCGUGGAGGCUGGCACAGUGCUCAAGCCUUACCCGUUGCUGAGGAGCCUCCGAGCACAGAGGGACUUUGAGCCUCCCAGCCGAUCCAAUGGAGCUGAAACACCUCCCAGAGCCUUCUUGGUGCUGGGCACCUCGAGAGCCAUGGGUGGAGGGACUCUAUGGAAAUGUUGUGAUAAUAAUGAUUAAUAAAAAGCAGAUAAACACCCAGUGUGGCUGGUCAGCCUGGGGAGCCAUCCAUUAGAGCUGUCAUUCAUUAGGGGUGGGGGAGGGGGCAGUCCAAUCACAUCUCCUCAGUUUAAGCAAACCUUCUGUAAAUUGUAGGCUGCAGGCACUGACAUUUGAUAAAUUAUUCUUCAUAAUCCACCGUUGGCUGCCAUAAAUCUAAUCUUUCAGCAGUCCCCAUCUUAAUAACUCCUAUAGCCUCACAGGGUGACAUGUCAAUGUCCCUGCCUGGGACAGAGAUCUCUGGGCUAAAAGAGACCAGAGAACCUGGACAGAGAGCAGGAUGAACUGGAGAAUCCCGCAGCCAGGGCCCAGCCUAGGCAGCUAUGUACUGGAUGAUCCGGAAUACAGGGCGAUGAGCCACCCUUGGAGCCAUACCCGGAGGCCGAGUGCUCACACCCCACCCAGCACAGGGCCGAGAGAGAGCUCGUGGCAGGAGCUUAGACCCAGGAAUAGGCAAGCUGAGUUCUACACCCUCCGCUGCAAGCCUGCCCAUGUGAGGGCUUACCACCUCCUCCCUGAAUUUGAGCCUGGGUCGGUACAAGGGAAUGUCAGGACAUCUUUGCUCUGCAGGGACUGGGUGCUCAACUAUGGGUAAUUCCUUCUACUUGCAUAAUGUUGGUGCCUUCAAAGGACUCUUAUGUAAUUCUCAACCCUCUCUCAAGGUUAGGUAGAGGAGAUGUUAUUGCCUCCAUUCUAUGGAGAACACAUUCGCUAAAGGUCAAUUGUUUAUUCAUCCAACAAACAUUUACUGAGUGACUAAUACAUGCAGGUCACUGUGCCAGUCACUGGGCAGUCAAUGAGGAAUGGAUCCAAAUUGGACAUGAGCACCACCCUCUGGAGUUGCUACUGUAACUUAAAGUCCAGGAAGGGAGACAGAAAUGAAUUAACCAAGUAAUCACAAAUAGAAGAAAGAUGGCCAACUCUGGUAAGUGUGAUGAAGGGAGAGCUGGUACCAUAAGAGCCAGGUUCAGGGCUUGAACCUGGGCAGGAGGGUAGGAAGGGCUUCUUUGAGGAGGUGACCAGGACCUGAGACCUGAAGGAUGAGGAACCAGUUAACUAGCUAAAGAAAGAAAGGAGACCCUUCCAAGCAGAGGGAACAGCAUGUGUGAACCACAAAUAGGUGGAACGAGACACACCAACAGGAGACAGCUGGAAAUACAAAGGCCAGCAACUCCAAACCAGAAUCCAGGCAGAAGUGGGCUCCUGGUCUCCCUCCUGCGAAGGGGUCCUCAUCCACAGCUCCUGCACGCUGGGGAGAAAGCCUGGCCGCAAGGGCUCACACUCAUUUCUGAUGAGGCCCACCAAUUCUAAAACCUGAUGGGCUCACCACCAUGAAACCCCAAAUGGCUUUUCCAGAAACCUCCAGAUGUUCCUACACCCAAACGUAUAGGAAGAGAGCAAAUAAAGCACAGCAUCCUUUGCUUAUGGUAUCAGGAUGGGCCUCCUUAGCCCCAGCAUAAUGCCACACAGCAAGCAUAGCCUAAGCUGUGUCCCCAUGCCUCAGAGCCAGAGUUCAGGAACCAGAGCCCUUUGUACACCUAAGUAUGUUUCACCCAGUAAGAGUUUUCCAGACUCACUUUACGUGUGAUAGCAGUAGCGCCCAGGAAUUUUAAAGGAAAGUAAACCCAGACUCCAUGGAUCUACUGGGAAGACCAAGCCCACGCUUACAGGGAACCACACCCAGACUACCAGCUCACCCUGGCAAAGCAGAGCAGCGAUUAAAAAUGCCAUCUCCAGGGUCAGCAACCCUAUCUGCCAAGGCCUUUACGCAUCGUCUGCGGCUGCUCUCCCGCUACAACAGCAAAGGUAAGAAGUUGUGACGGAGACCAUGCAGCCUGCAACACCUACAAGAUUUACCAUCUAGCCCUGCAGUAGGCAGAAAAAUGGCCCCUCAAAGAUGUCCAUGUCCCACUCCCCCAGCCGGGCGCAGUGGCUCAUGCCUGUAAUCCUAGCAAUCUGGGAGGCCGAGGCAGGUGGAUUGCUCAAGGUCAGGAGUUCAAAACCAAUCCCCCAAAGCUGCAAAUGUUACGUGGCAAAGGAGACCACGCAGGUGUGAUGAGGUUAAGGCUCUCGAGAUGGGAGAGUAUCCUGGACCACAUAAGUGGGCUCAAUGUAAUCAAUCACAAAGGUUCUUGUAAGAGAGAAGCAGGAGGGUCAGAAUUAGAAAAGGUGACAUGAUGACAGAAGCAGAGGAGAGAGGGAUCGGAAGAUGCUAUGCUGCUGGCUACAAGGAUGGAGGAACGCAGGCGGCCUCUGGAAGCUGGAAAAGCCAACAAAAGAGAUUCUCCCCAAGAGCCUCUAGAAGGAACAGAGGCUGGCCAACACCUCAACUCUAGGACUUCUGACCUGCAGAAGAGUAAGAUAAUAAAUGUGUAUUUAUUGAAGCCGAAUACAGGCUCCCAAUAGAGCAUUAGUGCCACACUCCCAGAAGUCAGUUUUCAGUCUCUUGCUGUAUUUCCCAGGGCAGUGAUGGGGCUUGGAAAGCUGGGGAACAAGACAGGGGAACACAGGCCAAACAUGAACCCCCAGAGGGGAAACCAGGGAGGGGUACAUCACAGCUUCCUAGUUCCACCAUGUCACGUGAACCAGUCCCUGUUUCCCCUCCCAGGGCAAGGGGUCCCCCGCUCCUGGGCUGCCUCCUAAAUGUUACUCCUUCCCAGCCCCUGUGCCAGAUGCUAAAACCUCUGGGCUGAAAUGACGCUUUCCUCUCCUCCCGAGGAGCCUAGUUUCCUCUGCAACCUCACCCGGAAGUACCAGUCCUCAGGUCUCACGCCAAAGACGGAGGCGCAGUGGGGCCCACGAGAGACUUCUCAUCGCUACAAGGACUUUGGGGUUGAUUUGCAGGAGCAGCUCCAGCCGUCAGAGGAACAGCCUCUGCUUCCAAAAACCCAGUUACAGGGAAACACAUACACACAAACACCCUAGAGAGCUUAUUAAAUCGGGGAGGAUUUUUUUUUUUCAGUAUCUAGAAAGCAGGGACUGUAGCUUAUUCAGCCUUUCAAUGCUGAACCCCAAAUGGCUCAAGGCAAUGCAGACCCACUGGCCUUCUAACCACAAACCCAUCCCUCCUGCUCUCAGGAAAAGGGGGUGACUGCAAAUCCCAGCCCUGUAGGAGAUUCCUUCCCCAAACUGUUAGCAGGAUAGCCUGCUCCCACACAUACACAUACAUGUACACUGCCCCCCACUGUCCCCUUCAGCGCUGUGGACAGCCCUAAGGGGGUCCCCACUGUCCAUGCAGAUCUUGGGGUAGCCUCUCCAUCUCCCUUACCCCUCCCCACUUAAUUCAUCCCAAGUCCUGUUGAGUUAGUCUCCGAAACAUGUCGGUCUACUCCUCUCCACCUCCCCGAGUGGGGUCCAAGCCACCAUCACCUCUUGUCUGGGCAACCAUAACAGCCUCGUUAACUGGCCUUCUGUUGAGUUCUAUUCCUCUCCCCCACACCAGCCUUGAUGUCCCUGGAGGCCCAGCUGACCUCUCCAGCCUCAUCUUUCAGGGUCUCUGUCUGCCCUGCUGCCACCAGCCCCUUCCCAUCCCUGGUCAGACCCAAGCUCCUUCCCACUCAAGCCCUCUGUGUUCUCAUUCUCUCUGUCCCGUCCUCCUGUCCCUUAACUACCCUCUGGCCUCAGCUUCAACACCCCCACCCUGUCUCCUUGCUCAGAGCACCCUAGACUUUUCCUCAGGGCAUUUAUCACAAGAGUCAUUAAAGCUUAAUUUUUCUGGUCACUCAUUUAACAGUGGACAUUCCCAUACAACUGGGUCACAGUGCCCUGAUGGCAACUUGUUCACCCACGUAAUCCCCGGGGCCGGCACACAGAAGGUCAGCCAAUACCUGAAGAGUCACUAAAGGAACACUCAAAUGACUGGUGAAGCCCCAGAAGGGACAGCAGCCACCCAGAGUCCACACACACAGGAGCCCUCACCUGUGGGCACCCAGACGUCUAGCCCCGCACUUGCCCCACCCCGGCCAAGGUGGCACAGACCUCCCUAGUCUGGCUCAGGGUUCAGAUCCUGCGGAGGUCACAGCAGCAGGGAUGACGUCCUCAGCUCUGUCCACUCCCAAAGCCCCUCUCCUGCCCUUCGGUACCUGCUCCUCUUGACCAUGCUAAAGUCCUGCUCGAGUCUCACCUCCCCCAGAAAGCCUUAUUCACUCCUAUGACCUUAUUUGUGGUUCCGAGAACACCUAAAAGCUGCAGCCCACACCCCAGAAAAAUUUCUCAUUUGUCCUGACCUCUUAAGUUCUGACUAUAGCUCAUUGGUACCCAAAAUAUGAGCAGAGCUGUUGUGAUGGGUCCACAAGCAACUCAUAAAGCAGCCCACACAGUCCCUUCCUCCAGCUCUCCACCCCUUGUGUACCACCAUGGAGAGAGUUCUGCACUCUGAGUAAGGGUACGAGGGCCGGUGUAUGGUCUAGGCCCACCUCUGCCACCAACCAGCUGUGGGGUCUUAGAGAAGUCCCCUCACUUUUUGUGAGUCUUAAUUCCUGACUUGUAACAGGAGAGUGUUAGACUGCUUGACCAGUUAGCCUUUCUAAUUCCAUGAUCCUAUAACUCUCACCCUCCAUCCUACACUGCCCUAAUUGUGCCCCAGCCCCAUAUCAGCCAACCCCUACUCAUGUAUGUGCGCACACACACACACACACACACACACGUACGUACAUACUCAAGUCUGUCUCUCUACCUGGAGUCAGGCUACCCUCCCUAGUUAGACACACAUACACACACACACACACACACACACACACGCAUGCACACACACCAGGAGUCACUGUGGCUUCCCUUCCAAAGUGGCUCAGGCAAGGUCACUGACGGACUUCCCUUGUCACAGGGCUUCUGUGGCAUAAAUCACCGAGGUGGCCUGGCCUGGGAAAUGGGCUUGUUCCUGAAGCUCCAUGAAUAAAGAAGCAGGCACAGCUGGCCUAUUCAUAAUCAGCAUAAAAAAUUGAUUAGCCCUUUCCAGAUUAAACACUAUUGUUUCAACGGAGAACAUAAAUCAGCUAGACGUGGAGGGCUCGCCUCCCUCUGCGGCCAAGCAGCAGCAGGUGGAAGGGGAGUGGGGAGAGCAGGAGGAAAGGGCUCCCCCACGGCCAGCCACAGCCUCACUGCUGCUUAGUUAAGCUCCUCCUCGGUCAUCGACUGAUUGGCACUAAAUACAACACAGGCCAGGGCCGGAGGCAAGACAGCAGACUGGUGUAAGGAUGAGGAAAGGUGCAGGCCUGGCCUGGCCUCACAGGCCCAUCAGUGUGGCCUUGAGCCUGGCCCAUCUCCUGGGCUACUUGCCGCCCUGAAGCAGCCUGUGUGUCUCUGGAGUCAAUGACACUCAAACUCAGCUGCUGGCUCAGCCCCUGUCCUGCUGUGUGACUCUGAGUAAGUCACCUAACACUUCUGAGUCUCAGAUUCCACACCUGGAAACAACGGGAAGCAGUUACCCAUCUGGCUGAGCUGCUGAGAGGACUAAAUGAAAACAUCUAAGGCUUGGGCGGGAGGAACGUAAAUAUUCAACGUGAUCUGCUGGGGCUCCCCAUCCUCCG